GUCCUAAGGUAGCGAAAUUCCUUGUCGGGUAAGUUCCGACCCGCACGAAAGGCGUAACGAUUUGGGCACUGUCUCAACGAGAGACUCGGUGAAAUCAUAGUACCUGUGAAGAUGCAGGUUACCCGCGACAGGACGGAAAGACCCCGUGGAGCUUUACUGUAGCCUGAUAUUGAAAUUCGGCACAGCUUGUACAGGAUAGGUAGGAGCCUUUGAAACGUGAGCGCUAGCUUACGUGGAGGCGCUGGUGGGAUACUACCCUAGCUGUGUUGGCUUUCUAACCCGCACUACUUAUCGUGGUGGGAGACAGUGUCAGGCGGGCAGUUUGACUGGGGCGGUCGCCUCCUAAAAGGUAACGGAGGCGCUCAAAGGUUCCCUCAGAAUGGUUGGAAAUCAUUCAUAGAGUGUAAAGGCAUAAGGGAGCUUGACUGCGAGACCUACAAGUCGAGCAGGGUCGAAAGACGGACUUAGUGAUCCGGUGGUUCCGCAUGGAAGGGCCAUCGCUCAACGGAUAAAAGCUACCCCGGG
rnacentral:rRNA from 1 species